CGAAUGUUGAAGGUGAUGAAGCAGGUCAGGCACAGAGAGGCCGCCGCCGCCGCUGCCAGGAAGCAGGUCUCCUCGGCCUCGGCCCCGGGGUCACCACCAGGCACCAAGUGGGAGAAGAAAUGCGUCCCGAGCUGCCUCCGAUAUAAACGCAGCAUAAAACGUGUCAGCUGACCCACGCCCCAUUUCCUGCUGGUGAUCGAAUCCUCACCUGGUUAUGAGUCUCACAGUGACACGGGAGUUCUUCAUCCUCAUCUGUCCUCUUCUAUGAGCUCAUUCCACUUUGGACAGUUAACAGUGUGAAGGACGGUGAUGGUCACAUGACCUCGGACCAUAAAAAGGACUUUAAAACACUGUUUUUAAAGCCCGUCCUCAGUGUUUCUAACGUUCUCCUGACAGAAACCCAUUCUUCCCGUUGUUUGUGUUUGUGCUGUGGUCCAGUUCAGCCCUCAUAUCCAGGACGUUUCCACCUGAUCCAGAGGAGUCAGAGCGUUCACCUUUUGUCUCUGUACUGGCAGGAACUAGGAUCAUAUACAAUAAAGUAGGAUUUUUCAUACUGUAAAUAUGAAUGAACCUGCACAGUAAGAGUACUGACCAGAAGAACAGCCUGUCGACUUUUUCUCCACAUGUGCAACUUUUUUAAUUGUUUAACGAAAUGUAAAGAAACCGAUCGUAAUAAAUCUGACUGCUUAUAUUAGUGUUUGUGUUUGUUUAAGAAGUUUGGUUGUAAUUAUAAUACUCAGUUCCUUUAUAUGAUAAAUGUCACCAGUUUCAGCAGAA